rnacentral:lncRNA from 10 species
GCCAAGGGUUGCUAUGGCAAUAGGAAUACACUGUAGGUUUUAAGAGAUGUAAUUUUCUGUGAUUCACUGUAUAUUUUUAGCCAUUUUUCCCUCUGUAUUAUCUCCCUGUGGUAAUUGCCUAUUAAUGCUGGUCUGUACUAAGAUUGGACUAAACGGUCGAUUCUCAGAAGAGAUGAAAACCCUGGAGCUCAGCUGAUGCGUGCUUCUGAACAGCUGACCCUGAGGCCUUCAUCCACCUCUUGACCAGGACCCCCUCAUCAGGGCUUCCAUCCAGGAAUUUGAGAAGGAUUUAAACACCAUGAAGAAAAAGAGUUUGCUGUGAAAUUUGUGGAGGGAAGAGCAAUAAAAAGUCAACAUCUCCCAGCGGGACAGGACGAGUGCGCUGCUAUUUCCCGAAAGGCGCUCAGGAAGGGCCCUGCCUCCGGGUGGGGAGGAGAGGCGGGCAGCCUGGACUUAACCAGAGCCUGCCAGUUGCUCGUGUUUAUUGAGGGCCAUCUGCUCUCAGGGCCCUCAAUCUUGUACUCGGUCUAUUUGGAAAAGGAUUUAAAGGGCAAAGAAAAUAAUAUCUUCAUCUACUAUUCGGGCUUUUCCAGGACAAUACUGAUUUCAAAUAUUUUAUCCUCCUGUCGCCUUAAGCUAUCACAAAUGUUUUAGAAAUCCCAACUUCGUAGUGUCUAAAUGGAAUUUUCAGAAUUGCCUGUAAACCUCUUACCUUCUGCAGCACAAAAUCCUUUCUCUGAACACACAUCUCAGAUUUUUGGCUGGGAUAAUACAGUCAUCAUAGAAUACUGAACAGAAGGAAUUUCAAGGAAGGCAAUUUAAAGUUAGAGGGAAGAGCAGUAAAUGUAAAACUAUAAACAAAUAAAAAUGAAAUAAUAGCUCGUUCUUAUUGAGAGAUUUAGUGCCGUGCUUAUGGUUGUGGAUACUGAAGCCAGUCUCUCUGGGUUCAUAUCCCAGCUUUGAUACUUACUAGCUGUGUGACCUGGACAAGCCAGUUAACCUCUCUGUGCCUCAGUUUCCUCAUCCACUAAAAUGUGGAGAAUGGUACAGGGUUAUGAGGGUUUCGUGAGG